ensembl:snoRNA SNORD116 Small nucleolar RNA SNORD116
AGAUUGGUGAUGACUCCCUACAAAUGCAUUCUUAGAAAUCUGAACAAAAUGAGUACUAAUCUCUACUGUCAUCCUCACUGGAAAUGAGUUCC